rnacentral:rRNA from 1 species
GGGCCGCGGUAUACUGACCGUGCGAAGGUAGCAUAAUCAAUAGUGUUUUAAUUGAAGACUGGAAUGAACGGUCGGACAAGGGGUUUACUGUCUCUAAAAUGAAUCUUGAAGUUUACUUUUAAGUGAGAAGGCUUAAAUAAUGUGGGGGGACGAUAAGACCCUAUAAAACUUGACAAGCUAUGUGAUCAGAUGUAGGAAUUAAGUUGGUGUAAGCUUGAUGGUUGUAUGGUUGUUUUGUUGGGGCGGCAAGGAUAAAAAGAUAAGUAACUGUCUUUAUAUAAAAAUAGCGAUAAUUAGUUUAGGUGAUCCCUUAUUAAGGAUUAAGAGAUUAAGUUACUUUAGGGAUAACAGCGUAAUUUCUCUUGAGAGUUCUAAUCGACGGAGUUAGUUGCGACCUCGAUGUUGAAUUAAGAUGUUAUUUAGGUGCAGGAGUCUAAAGAGUAGGUCUGUUCGACCUUUAAAAUCUU